rnacentral:lncRNA from 1 species
UAUCAAUGACAUCUAAUGCUCAUGAUCAGGAAACCAUGAUCAUAUAUUGAUCAACGAGCUAGCCAACUAGAGGCUUGCUAGGGACACAUUGUGAUCUAUUUAUUCACACAUGUAUUACUGUUUCCUGUUAAUACAAUUAUAGCAUGAACAAUAGACGAUUAUCAUGAACAAGGAAUAUGAUAAUAACCAUUUUAUUAUUGCCUCUAGGGCAUAUUUCCAAC